rnacentral:rRNA from 1 species
GAUGAACGCUGGCGGCGUGCUUAACACAUGCAAGUCGAACGGGAAAUAUUUCAUUGAGACUUCGGUGGAUUUGAUUUAUUUCUAGUGGCGGACGGGUGAGUAACGCGUGGGUAACCUGCCUUAUACAGGGGGAUAACAGUCAGAAAUGGCUGCUAAUACCGCAUAAGCGCACAGAGCUGCAUGGCUCAGUGUGAAAAACUCCGGUGGUAUAAGAUGGACCCGCGUUGGAUUAGCUAGUUGGUGGGGUAACGGCCCACCAAGGCGACGAUCCAUAGCCGGCCUGAGAGGGUGAACGGCCACAUUGGGACUGAGACACGGCCCAGACUCCUACGGGAGGCAGCAGUGGGGAAUAUUGCACAAUGGGGGAAACCCUGAUGCAGCGACGCCGCGUGAAGGAAGAAGUAUCUCGGGAUGUAAACUUCUAUCAGCAGGGAAGAUAGUGACGGUACCUGACUAAGAAGCCCCGGCUAACUACGUG